rnacentral:rRNA from 1 species
AGAGUUUGAUUAUGGCUCAGGAUGAACGCUAGCGAUAGGCUUAACACAUGCAAGUCGAGGGGCAGCACGGUGUAGCAAUACACUGGUGGCGACCGGCGUACGGGUGCGUAACACGUAUGCAACCUACCCGCUAUUGGGGGAUAACCCGGCGAAAGUCGGACUAAUACCCCAUAUUAUUCUUACCGGGCAUCCGGUAGGUCUGAAAGAUUUAUCGAUUGCGGAUGGGCAUGCGGAUGAUUAGCUAGUAGGUGGGGUAACGGCUCACCUAGGCGACGAUCAUUAGGGGUUCUGAGAGGAAGGUCCCCCACACUGGAACUGAGACACGGUCCAGACCCCUACGGGAGGCAGCAGCGAGGAAUAUUGGUCAAUGGGCGCUAGCCUGAACCAGCCAGGUCGCGUGAAGGAUGAACCAGAUCUAUGGUUUGUAAACUUCUUUUGCAGGGGAGUAAAGUGCGACACGUGUGUUGUAUUGCAAGUACCCUGCGAAUAAGCAUCGGCUAACUCCGUGCCAGCCGCCGC